UACGAAGGGGGCUAGCGUUGUUCGGAUUUACUGGGCGUAAAGCGCACGUAGGCGGAUUGUUAAGUCAGGGGUGAAAUCCUGGAGCUCAACUCCAGAACUGCCUUUGAUACUGGCAAUCUAGAGUCCGGAAGAGGUGAGUGGAACUCCUAGUGUAGAGGUGGAAUUCGUAGAUAUUAGGAAGAACACCAGUGGCGAAGGCGGCUCACUGGUCCGGUACUGACGCUGAGGUGCGAAAGCGUGGGGAGCAAACAGGAUUAGAUACCCCCGUAGUCC
rnacentral:rRNA from 1 species